UACAGAGGUCUCAAGCGUUGUUCGGAUUCAUUGGGCGUAAAGGGUGCGUAGGUGGCGCCGUAAGUCGGGAUGUGAAAUUUCGGAGCUUAACUCGAAACUGCAUUCGAUACUGCGGUGCUUGAGGACUGGAGAGGAGACUGGAAUUCAUGGUGUAGCAGUGAAAUGCGUAGAGAUCAUGAGGAAGACCAGUGGCGAAGGCGGGUCUCUGGACAGUUCCUGACACUGAGGCACGAAGGCCAGGGGAGCAAACGGG
rnacentral:rRNA from 1 species